CCUACGGGAGGCAGCAGUGAGGAAUAUUGGUCAAUGGGCGGGAGCCUGAACCAGCCAAGUCGCGUGAGGGAAGACGGUCCUAUGGAUUGUAAACCUCUUUAGGCGGGGAGCAAUGCCGGGCACGCGUGCCCGGAGGGAGAGUACCCGCAGAAUAAGCAUCGGCUAACUCCGUGCCAGCAGCCGCGGUAAUACGGAGGAUGCGAGCGUUAUCCGGAUUUAUUGGGUUUAAAGGGUGCGUAGGCGGAUUGUUAAGUCAGCGGUAAAAUGUCCGGGCUCAACCCGGGCCGGCCGUUGAAACUGGAGGUCUUGAGUGGGCGAGAGGUAUGCGGAAUGCGUGGUGUAGCGGUGAAAUGCAUAGAUAUCACGCAGAACUCCGAUUGCGAAGGCAGCAUGCCGGCGCCCGACUGACGCUGAGGCACGAAAGCGUGGGGAUUGAACAGGAUUAGAUACCCGGGUAGUC
rnacentral:rRNA from 1 species